GAUCACUCUGCCCUUCCCUGGUGGGGCUAGAACUCCUGUACCUUCUGGCUACUCUUCAGGCUACUUUUUUAGGAAAAGCACUAGUGUCUAUUAGAAAGCAGGAAAGUGCCAGGCGUGGUGGCACACACCCUUAAUCCUAGCACUUGGGAGGCAGAGGCAGGCGCAUUUCUGAGUUCAAGGCCAGCCUGGUCUACAGAGUGAAUUCCAGGACAGCCAGGACUACACAGAGAAACCCUGUCUCGAAAAACCAAAAAAAAAAAAAGUUAAAAAGCAGGAAAGUGUGAAGAAGACAAGAAAAUACUUUUUAGGGGGUUGGGUGUUUUGGGUUUUGUUUGUGUGUUUACAAAACAGGUCUCAUGUAGCCCAGGCUUGCCUCAAACUCCCAUAGUAGAGAACAGCUUUGAGUUGCUGUCCCCCCUCCACCUUCUAAGUGCUAAAAUUAUAGGCAUGUGCUACCACAUCUGGCACUAAUCAAGCUUUACAUGUGUGUACACACAGGCUGGCCAAGUAGGGUAAGUUCACAUUUUCAAAUAAGAAAAGGAUUUUUAGCUACAAGUUUUAGCCGAAUGCAUGGAAUAAGUGAAUUCAGUCCCCCACGAGGAGAGGAGGAAAAAGAAAGGGUGUGAGUUCAUUGACCAGCCUUGAGGCAUUGCCAAGCUUCUGGCAUGUCGGUCUUUCUGAUGGAGGGCAUGGUUGGCUCAUUGAGAGUAGAGUAGGCAGAAGAUUGACUCCAUUUCAGUGUGGACUAGAACUCCUGUAUAAUAUGCUCCCUCAUCAUCUGGGGCUAUUAAGAUACAUAUUGAUGGAGGCCUUUCCAGACAGCUCCCAGGUGAGCCUGAGCAUGCUAGUAUUCACACAGCCUAUUGGUAAGUUGGUGAACCACUCAUUAGAUUCUCAUUUGCCAAAUACCAUUGAGAUAGUUGCUCUUAGAUCCUGGUUUGGGAUUAUUUUGUUUUAAAGUGUUGAUUUGGUGUUUGCUUCUCCCACACACUCUUACACAGAUACUAGCUUUGUCUUAAUGAUAUCAAUGCCCAAUGCCAAAUGAGACUGAAUAGGUGUCGUCUCUUGGCUCUGUCAACACAAAGGUAAUGCUGGCCUCACAGGUGCCUUUUUUUGUGAUUACUGGCAGGUAGCAGGAAACCCAUCUCUGCUUUGUGGUUAUAGUCUGCAGGGAUUGGGAGAUAUAGCUCUCUAAGCAGUUCAAAGCCGAGAGAAAGUUGGGUGUGCGGAGACCUUGCAGGUCAAGUCAGCUGAGGAGCUGGAGCACGGGUUUACAUAGGAUACUAAGGAACACAACCUAACCGCUCAUCCUGUCCUCGCUGGGCCUGCUCAUUCCCUCCCAGAGAGAUCAUGGUUUCUGUUUCAGGCACUUAGAAGGGCUUCCCAUUUUCUAAAAUAGGAUGGAUAAAGUCCUCACUGGAGUUGAAUAAAUGAGCAGACUCUGUAUACAUGAAGCCGUCAGAAAUCUAAUUGGUCUGUUUAUGUUGCAGCUAGAUGGAUGGGAUGCAAAUGUCUUAAUGCCUGCCGUUGAUAUAUGCCUCCACCAAAAGUUCCACAGUUUAUGUUAGAGCAAGACAUUGGCAGCUUGGGUUUUUACUAAUGCAACUCAGCAGGUUUUAGUGUUUACAAUAGCUGUAAGGUAUUUGUAUUUUUAUAGGGAUUCUCUCUCCUUUCAUCUAAUGUCAAAACAUGCGUAGACAUGGCAUUGUAGGGGAGCUGUUCAGUUUUAUGAUCCAGGGGACCAUUAACAGAUAGAUAUCUAGCCGUCCCUCUCUCUUUCCAGGACAUCCUAACCCCAGCCCCCAGCCCCCACCUUUCCAUCAAAGCCCUAGAAAUCAUUAGUUCCAGAAAAGCAUCCUUGCGUGGAGUGUGCGCCCUCCAGCUGUGCAGAGUGCUGACCAGAGGCGGGCCCUGGCUGACAGGUUUACCUUGGUAUUCUUGAAGGAUCCCAGACCUUUAGCCCUCAAUGGUGGGAACGCAGAACUCACUGUUCACUCUCCCUCUUCUACCAUGGUGCUUCAGCCUUUAUGUUUGAAUUGGCUGACGCAAAACAAGAGUAUUCAAAGAUGCUAAAUUGUUCAACAAAAGAUUGGCCUGCAGAGCAGCCCUGCCAUUGUGGAGUGCCCUCGCCCUGCACAAUGCCCCGGCUCUCACAGAAUGGGCAGCGUUUUCUUUGCAGAAAGCUGGUUCCUGUGUUCUAAAAAGGUUGCAAUUGGAGCUGUUUGGUAAAACUGGAACCCAGAGAAAUUCUAGGCAGAAAGUUGUGCUUAAUGAAAGCCCAGGGAAAGCCUUACCUGAUGCACUAGAGACUUAAUUAGAGAUUCUGCUGUAAGAGGCAGGGGCAUUUCACAGUGGAUUAGCUGCCUGCAGAAGUGGGCUGCUUUUCCUCCUGCGCCAAAUUGUUUAAAUUCUACGCCCUGUACUUCAUUUGUUUGCUUCUGCUGGGUUCUCGAGAGGGGCCCCUCGCCCAGCAUUGUAUCUGUACUUUCAGGGUGCUCAGCCAUUCAGCUCACAUUCCAUAUUCCUGUGUUGGUGUAACACGUUCAUAAAUAACAUCACAGGCAGGAGAUUUCAUCAAAUUAACAAUUUUUUCCCCUUCCCUUCAUGAAGUAACGCUGCAGGGUGUGGAGGAAUCUAGUCCUCAGAGCCGCAAGG
rnacentral:lncRNA from 1 species